rnacentral:rRNA from 1 species
UACGUAGGGAGCGAGCGUUGUCCGGAUUCAUUGGGCGUAAAGAGCUCGUAGGCGGCUUGGCAAGUCGGGUGUGAAAACUCCAGGCUCAACCUGGAGACGCCACCCGAUACUGCCAUGGCUAGAGUCCGGUAGGGGACCACGGAAUUCCUGGUGUAGCGGUGAAAUGCGCAGAUAUCAGGAGGAACACCGGUGGCGAAGGCGGCACUCUGGGACGGUACUGACGCUGAGACGCGAAAGCGUGGGGAGCGAACAGG